GCGCCUUGCAGAAACGUCUCGCUCUUGCUGAAAAGGCGAAGGAAAAACACAUGGAGGAACUCCAGGCCGCACAUAAAAACGUCACACAACUCCAGGAUGAGUUGCAGACCACGACAAGGAACUACGAGAAUCAACUGAGUAUGAUGAGUGAGCAUCUGUGCAGUAUGAAUGAGAAACUCACCUCACAGAAGGAUCAAAUCGAUGCGCUGAAACUCACUGCUAAACCGAGCAAGAAAGGCAAGAAUAAGUAACGCAGAGGCUCAGCAUUUACACAAUCUACAGUCUCUGAUCGAUGGCAUGACAUCAUCCUAU